CUUCACCGACCCCAGGUACAGCGGCUCCUCACGGUCCUGCCCGUACGUCGCCAGCAGCGCCUGCGCCUC
rfam:Streptomyces sp. H-KF8 tig00000016, whole genome shotgun sequence.